AUUGAACGCUGGCGGCAGGCCUAACACAUGCAAGUCGAGCGGAUGAGAAGAGCUUGCUCUUCGAGUUAGCGGCGGUCGGGUGAGUAAUGCCUAGGAAUCUGCCUGGUAGUGGGGGACAACGUUUCGAAAGGAACGCUAAUACCGCAUACGUCUUAAGGGAGAAAGCAGGGGACCUUCGGGCCUUGCGCUAUCAGAUGAGCCUAGGUCGGAUUAGCUAGUUGGUGAGGUAACGGCUCACCAAGGCGACGAUCCGUAACUGGUCUGAGAGGAUGAUCAGUCACACUGGAACUGAGACACGGUCCAGACUCCUACGGGAGGCAGCAGUGGGGAAUAUUGGACAAUGGGCGAAAGCCUGAUCCAGCCAUGCCGCGUGUGUGAAGAAGGUCUUCGGAUUGUAAAGCACUUUAAGUUGGGAGGAAGGGCAGUAAGCGAAUACCUUGCUGUUUUGACGUCACCGACAGAAUAAGCACCGGCUAACUCUGUGCCAGCCGCCGCCGUAAUAC
rnacentral:rRNA from 1 species